rnacentral:lncRNA from 1 species
ACAGUCAGACGUUUUGUAAAUGUCGGAGCUGGACCAUGAGAGAGUCCUGGACUGAUGGCUCCAUCACACGAUCACUUAGCCACAGUCUGGAGUUGUUAUGCGCAGCACCUCGGCUUGCUUUCCCUAAGCACACCUCAAAUUGAAAGGGAGGUAAAGCCUCAUCAGUGAAACAGGCAAAUGCUGGGGUAGUGAGUCAUCUCCAGCUCUGAGAAGGGGAAAUGCCUAGAGCAAGGGCUACAGCCUUCACAGCCCCACCAGUUCCCAGUUCCAAUAUUGUUUCCUGGAAUGAACUUUUACAACCAGGAAGAAGCUAUUUAAAACCUUCAUUACGAAACUUUAGCAUCUCACCAUGAAGGAUAUUUAAAAGCAAAAUGACCUGAAGCAGGUGUGAGUAAUCUGUGGCUAGAACAGAGCUCUGCUCCAGGCACAAGCACUGCUGUAGGUAAAGUGCUGAAGAAGAGGAAGACUACAGGCUAUUUAUCCAUGGUGGCAGCACAGCUUGGGGUAAGGCAGAGCUAAGACGACCCUCUGUCUUUGUGAAGAUGCCAGAGGAAUCCACCAAAGAGUUUCAAGCAAAAAUCAAGCUGUUCAUCUUAUCAGGAGAAUCUGGGGAAGAAUCUGAUUCCAAAUUCAUUCAGGGUUUUGCCGAUUUGGAUCCUGGGCGUGGACCUAGCACCACUCAUCAAGCCAUGCUGAGGCAUCGUCCCACGUAGCAGAAACAGAAGGACCUACAACUAGAAUAUAUAAAAAAAAUUAUUUGCCAAAGGUGAGCUGUUGUUUUCAUCUCUUGUCCCUUAUU